UACGUAGGUGGCGAGCGUUGUCCGGAUUUACUGGGCGUAAAGGGAGCGUAGGCGGACUUUUAAGUAAGAUGUGAAAUACUCGGGCUCAACUUGAGUGCUGCAUUUCAAACUGGAAGUCUAGAGUGCAGGAGAGGAGAAUGGAAUUCCUAGUGUAGCGGUGAAAUGCGUAGAGAUUAGGAAGAACACCAGUGGCGAAGGCGAUUCUCUGGACUGUAACUGACGCUGAGGCUCGAAAGCGUGGGGAGCAAACGGG
rnacentral:rRNA from 1 species